rnacentral:misc_RNA from 1 species
GCAUUCAGUUCUUCACAGAUGCAAACAUUGAUUUGGGUCAGUUGCAGGGUUCUGUAACCAAGGAAUCUAUCAAAUCUUCCAACUGCAUCGACGCUGAAAAUACCACGAGUCAACCUGUUUCAUUCUCAUUAGGACAUGGACACAUUUUCCGUGAAUUCUGUAGUGUGUUCCAACUGAGCGAUGAGGUAUUAUCUCAGAGAAUCCUUUCGAAGCUGUCUCCCAGAGAUAUCGCAUCAGUUGCAUCGGUCUGCAAGCGGCUUUACAAGGUAUCAGAGAACGGGGAUCUCUGGAGGAUGGUUUGCCAGAACGCAUGGGGCAGGGAAACGACUCGUGCAUUGGA